rfam:Hordeum vulgare subsp. vulgare, WGS project CAJW01000000 data, contig: morex_contig_46894
CUAAUACUCCCUCCGUUCUAAAAUUCUUGUCUUAGCUUUGUCUAGAAAUAAAUGUAUUUACAUACUAAAAUUUGACUAGAUACAUUCAUAUCUAAACAAAUCUAAGACGAGAAUUUUGGGACAGAGGGAGUAUAAG